rnacentral:rRNA from 1 species
UGGUUCAGGCAUGCAAGUCGAACGAUCUCGCAAGAGAUAGUGGCAGAAGGGUUAGUAACACGUGGGCAAUCUACCCUCGACUCGGGGAUAACAUCUCGAAAGAGAUGCUAAUACCCGAUGACAUUACUUGGUGGCAUCAUCGAGUAAUCAAAGGUGGCGCAAGCUGCCGAUUGAGGAGGAGCCCGCGGCCUAUCAGCUAGUUGGUGAGGUAAUGGCUCACCAAGGCAUUUGACGGGUAGCUGGUCUAAGAGGACGAUCAGCAACAUUGGGACUGAGACACUGCCCAGACUCCUACGGGAGGCUGCAGUCGAGGAUCUUUAGCAAUGCCCGAAAGGGUGACUAUGCGACGCCGCGUGCAGGAUGAAGGCCUUCGGGUCGUAAACGGC